GCAUGGACGAAUUCUGUUCCAGCCGGUCUGUGGUGGAUACAGUCAGACACCAUGCAAAAGUAUUAUCUCAUUUCUACUAAAUGACAGGGUGUGUGCUACCGUGGGCCCCAUCUGAUGCUACAGGAAUGAGUACAGUG
ensembl:snoRNA small nucleolar RNA, H/ACA box 15